rnacentral:rRNA from 1 species
AUUGAACGCUGGCGGCAGGCUUAACACAUGCAAGUCGAGCGGAGUGAUGGUGCUUGCACUAUCACUUAGCGGCGGACGGGUGAGUAAUGCUUAGGAAUCUGCCAUUUAGUGGGGGACAACAUUCCGAAAGGAAUGCUAAUACCGCAUACGUCCUACGGGAGAAAGCAGGGGAUCUUCGGACCUUGCGCUGAUAGAUGAGCCUAAGUCGGAUUAGCUAGUUGGUGGGGUAAAGGCCUACCAAGGCGACGAUCUGUAGCCGGUCUGAGAGGAUGAUCCGCCACACAGGGACUGAGACUCGGCCCAGAUUCCUAAGGGAGGCAGCAGUGGGGAAUAUUGGACAAUGGGGGGAACCCUGAUCCAGCCAUGCCGCGUGUGUGAAGAAGGCCUUAUGGUUGUAAAGCACUUUAAGCGAGGAGGAGGCUACUGAGACUAAUACUCUUGGAUAGUGGACGUUACUCGCAGAAUAAGCACCGGCUAACUCUGUGCCAGCCGCCGCCGUAAAAC